UCGAGAAUAUUCGACAAUGGGCGAAAGCCUGAUCGAGCGACGCCGCGUGCAGGAUGAAGCAUCUCGGUGUGUAAACUGCUUUUCUACGGGAAAAACUUCGGUGAUGGUACCGUAGGAAUAAGUGGCUGCAAACUUCGUGCCAGCAGCCGCGGUAAUACGAAGGCCACAAGCGUUAUCCGGAUUUAUUGGGCGUAAAGGGCGCGUAGGGGGCUUGGUGUGUUUCUGGUAAAAUACCGGGGCUUAACUUCGGAAUCGCCAGGAAAACUACCAGGCUUGAGGAUGUUAGAGGUGAGUGGAACGCACGGUGUAGGGGUGAAAUCCGUUGAUAUCGUGCGGAACACCAAAGGCGAAGGCAGCUCACUGGGACAUUCCUGACCCUGAGGCGCGAAAGCGUGGGGAG
rnacentral:rRNA from 1 species